GACGAACGCUGGCGGCGUGCCUAAUACAUGCAAGUUGAGCGCUGAAGGUUGGUACUUGUACCAACUGGAUGAGCAGCGAACGGGUGAGUAACGCGUGGGGAAUCUGCCUUUGAGCGGGGGACAACAUUUGGAAACGAAUGCUAAUACCGCAUAAAAACUUUAAACACAAGUUUUAAGUUUGAAAGAUGCAAUUGCAUCACUCAAAGAUGAUCCCGCGUUGUAUUAGCUAGUUGGUGAGGCAAAGGCUCACCAAGGCGAUGAUACAUAGCCGACCUGAGAGGGUGGUCGGCCACAUUGGGACUGAGGCACGGCCCAAACUCCUACGGGAGGCAGCAGUAGGGAAUCUUCGGCAAUGGACGAAAGUCUGACCGAGCAACGCCGCGUGAGUGAAGAAGGUUUUCGGAUCGUAAAACUCUGUUGGUAGAGAAGAACGUUGGUGAGAGUGGAAAGCUCAUCAAGUGACGGUAACUACCCAGAAAGGGACGGCUAACUACGUG
rnacentral:rRNA from 1 species